ACCUUCGGGGGACGAUAACGGCGUCGAGCGGCGGACGGGUGAGUAAUGCCUAGGAAAUUGCCCUGAUGUGGGGGAUAACCAUUGGAAACGAUGGCUAAUACCGCAUAAUGCCUACGGGCCAAAGAGGGGGACCUUCGGGCCUCUCGCGUCAGGAUAUGCCUAGGUGGGAUUAGCUAGUUGGUGAGGUAAUGGCUCACCAAGGCGACGAUCCCUAGCUGGUCUGAGAGGAUGAUCAGCCACACUGGAACUGAGACACGGUCCAGACUCCUACGGGAGGCAGCAGUGGGGAAUAUUGCACAAUGGGCGCAAGCCUGAUGCAGCCAUGCCGCGUGUGUGAAGAAGGCCUUCGGGUUGUAAAGCACUUUCAGUCGUGAGGAAGGUGGUGUAGUUAAUAGCUGCAUUACUUGACGUUAGCGACAGAAGAAGCACCGGCUAACUCCGUG
rnacentral:rRNA from 1 species